GCAUUGCUGUGUGUCUGCCACCGCUGCCUGGCACUCAUGGGGCCGUGUGUGUGUGUAUGUGUGUGUGCGCGCAUGUACAUGUACGCAUAAGCGUGUGCUGUAUGUGAGCCUCCUGGGCAUGGGUGGGGGUUGGCAUUGCGGUUGCCAAUCUAGUGUACAACCAGAAGGACAGAGGGAUGGAGUGGAAGAAGGAGGGGAGAGGCUUGGGGUCUGGGAGGGGAGAAGAGGGUGCAUGAGUUGCUUCAUGCUGCCUGCUUACAGGCAUUGGCAUUGUAGCUGCCACCCUUGUGCCCACGGAGAUGGGAGGAGGCGAGUGGAGGGCGCAGCGGCAGGAGUCCUGUGCUCUGGGAGGAAGGCUUUGUACAUGGGAGCUGUUGGCAUCACAUCUGUCAGGCCGGUGCCCAGAACUGGGGCAAUGGAGACUGGGGGAUCCAGGAAGCAGGGAGGAGGGGCAGAAUGUGUUUCUGAUGUUGCUGUCCCUCUAGAAGCUCAGCUCUGAAAAAUGGUUGGAGUAUGAGGUGAUUAGUGCUCUUCCAGCUUGAGGAAGUAAAGUGGUGGAGAGAGUAGCCAGGGAAGUGCCAAGAAACAGUCUACGAGCCAGGGAGGAGGGAGUGUGCCACCGUACCCAGGGAGAACUUGUUGGGGCUGGCAAUCUGGCCCUUUGUCAGAGUAUUGAAGGAGACAGCAAGAGGACCAGAUGUGAGGUGGGUGGGUGCUGGCACUGCCCAUGGCACCUGGCACAGGCUCUGGCAUUGUGUGGAACAGGGGAGGUUGACAGUGCCUCUUGCCAAUCUGGUUGAGAGGGCUAUUGUGCCAGGAGUGAGAAGGAAGGAGGUGAAACAUUUCGGGAGGUGGGGUGUUUGGGAGACCAGAUUUUUUUCUGCCAGGUCCUCCUUCCCCUUCCCUCUUAGGCAUGGGGAGUGGAGCAACAGACGGAGAGUGGCAUGAAGACACAAAGGAGGAAGCACACCAUUGCCAAGACCCCAAGGAAGAAGGAUGGAAAGCGCUGGCAGUCCUGCCUGGCCCCCAGCCAGUUCCCUGCUGAAGAUGGCCAGAUCCCCUUGUCUGGUCUGUAUAUGCCACUUUUGCUGGGGUGGAAGGAGGGAAGGGCUGGCUUGCUGAGCUGGGCUCUAGAAUGGGAAGGGUACCUUUCUGCAGAUCCCAUUUGGACUCUCCACUUGAACAAGUGAGGUGUCUGAUUUUCUUCUUCGGUACCUUCCUCUCCUCCC
rnacentral:lncRNA from 1 species